CCUACGGGGGGCAGCAGUGGGGAAUAUUGCACAAUGGGGGAAACCCUGAUGCAGCGACGCCGCGUGAGUGAAGAAGUAUUUCGGUAUGUAAAGCUCUAUCAGCAGGGAAGAUAAUGACGGUACCUGACUAAGAAGCUCCGGCUAAAUACGUGCCAGCAGCCGCGGUAAUACGUAUGGAGCAAGCGUUAUCCGGAUUUACUGGGUGUAAAGGGAGCGUAGACGGUGAGACAAGUCUGAAGUGAAAGCCCGGGGCUCAACCCCGGGACUGCUUUGGAAACUGCCUGACUGGAGUGCUGGAGAGGCAA
rnacentral:rRNA from 1 species